UACUCUCUCACUCAUUGAAAAUAUGCAUUUUUGCAACCUUUCAGAAAAUCUAUUUGACACCAUAUAAGAGGAAUCUUAAAACAUGUAAUCCUGUUGAUUCAAUAAUGCCAAUGAUUCCAUGUAUAGCAACAUAUUUUAAACAAAUAAUCACAGAUGCAGAUGCCUAAUAAAAAUAUUAUUUGCUUAUAUAUGUUAGAGUUUUAAUGUGGCACUAACCUAAAUACCCAAUUGGGGAAUAGAUUAACAAAUUAUGCAAUAAUCACAAGAUGUAAUACCCUACAACAAAUAAAAAUGUGCUCUGAAAGUUUUAUUAUCAUUCUUAUUAUUAUUUGAUUAUACACCUACCCUAUGACUCUGCCACUCAGCCAUUCUACUCCUAGGCAUUUACCCAAGAGAAAUGAAAGCAUAUCUUUACAUAAAGACUUCUAU
rnacentral:lncRNA from 1 species